GACGAACGCUGGCGGCGUGCCUAAUACAUGCAAGUCGAACGCAGUGGGGACGGGUGAGUAACACGGGGGUAACCUCCCAACAGAGGGGAACACACUAGGAAACAGGUGCUAAACCGAUACUGAUGGAUGGACUCGCGGGGUAUUAGCUAGUUGGUGAGGUACGGGCUCACCAAGGCACCGAUGCAUAGCCGACCUGAGAGGGUGAGCGGCCACAAGUGGACUGAGAAACGGCCCAGACUCCUACGGGAGGCAGCAGUAGGGAAUCUUCCGCAAUGGACGAAAGUCUGACCGAGCAACGCCGCGUGAGUGAAGAAGGUUUUCGGAUCGUAAAACUCUGUUGUUAGAGAAGCGGUAUCUAACCAGAAAGCCACGGCUAACUACGUGCCAGCAGCCGCGGUAAUAC
rnacentral:rRNA from 1 species